CCUACGGGAGGCUGCAUUGGGGAAUAUUGGACAAUGGGGGCAACCCUGAUCCAGCCAUGCCGCGUGUGUGAAGAAGGCCCUCGGGUUGUAAAGCACUUUCAGUGAGGAAGAACGCCUGGUGGUUAAUACCCAUCAGGAAAGACAUCACUCACAGAAGAAGCACCGGCUAACUCCGUGCCAGCAGCCGCGGUAAUACGGAGGGUGCGAGCGUUAAUCGGAAUUACUGGGCGUAAAGCGCGCGUAGGUGGCUUGAUAAGCCGGUUGUGAAAGCCCCGGGCUCAACCUGGGAACGGCAUCCGGAACUGUCAAGCUAGAGUGCAGGAGAGGAAGGUAGAAUUCCCGGUGUAGCGGUGAAAUGCGUAGAGAUCGGGAGGAAUACCAGUGGCGAAGGCGGCCUUCUGGACUGACACUGACACUGAGGUGCGAAAGCGUGGGUAGCAAACAGGAUUAGAUACCCCGGUAGUC
rnacentral:rRNA from 1 species